rnacentral:lncRNA from 1 species
UAGACUCUCUAGGACUGUCACUGCAUGAUACACACACUGAGGCACGUUGUUUGAAAUUAACCCUGAGCCUUUCUAGCCAUCCCGAAUAAUUAUAUCCCUCGUUAACCCCAUUUGAGCCUAUAUCCAAUUUUUUUGUUUAAACCCCAUAAAUGUACCCCUUGGCCAAAAACACUUCCUCACCCUGUUCAGAGUCAUGAUAAUAUAUUCAAACUGUGUUGAAAAGCUAAGUUUGGGGUAAAAAACCCCAAAAGCUCCCAAAGCCCAAGAAAGUGCAAGAACAAAAGAAAAAGAAAAAAUUGAUGAAUCGAGAGAGAGAAAGAAAAAUAAAAAGAGAAAAAUGAUAACUCGAAGAUUCAAAAAGAAGCACGGAAAAG